CGAUUCCAUGAAAGAUACCUCCGUAUUUAAUAGUAUAUCUGUAUUACUUAAAUAAUACAAUAUUAUUUUGUGAAUAAAAAGUCAAUACUUUUAUGAUACCAGGAUUGCGGGAGCACAAAGUGCGUAGCAAUCCGCAGGUAUCA
rnacentral:sRNA from 1 species